GUCCUUGUAGCUUACAACAAAGCAUGGCACUGAAGAUGCCAAGACGGCCCUAUAUCACCCAAGGAC
rnacentral:tRNA from 1 species